AAUUCUUCCUUCCCCAGUCAAGAGACUUAGGCUAAAUAGACCAAAAGCCUUCAAAGCUUUUAGUAGGAGUUAAAAUCUCCUAGUCCCUG
rnacentral:tRNA from 1 species